CCACAAGCUGCUCGAAUUAGCAAACAAAAAAAGAAAAAAGCAGGAGCUGAAGGCAGCUGGUUCAGUGGAUUGAAGUAAGUGGUCAAGAAAGAACUCCUGGCCUCUCUAGGCUUGGUUUCUCCCCUCCCCUCCACUGUCCUCUCUCACCCCUGUGACACCUGGCCCUGUGCUGACCUCUGCCUUCCUCAGACCCACCCUCUUCACCAGCUGUCCUGAACAUCCUCCCAGACAGCCCAUCUGACAAGCCACACCCAGUACUUGUCAUUUGGUGGCUGUGCCAGCCCCGCAAUGGACCUGCUGCUGACCAGCGUGGAAAGUGCAACGUGUACAUGAGGUCAGCAGAAUAACGGACCGCAACUAGAUCCACAUCCUAAUCCCCAGAGCCUUGAGCCGAGUGACAGAGGAAGCACACGCAUGUAAGUUAAAUAAGCAGGGUGGCAAUACACAACCUUGAUGUACUCCUUGCCCUAUUUGGAACCAGCCUGUUGGACUUCCCUGGUGGCUCAGACGAUGGGAAAACCGAGGCCCAGACAAGAAAGCCACGCAUCCUGGGCUCGACCCAUGCAGCCAGACUCGUAUCCACGGCCCACGACCCGGGGCUGAUCUGCCCCAAUCCCUCACCCCGGCUCCGUGACCCCGCCCUAUCCCCUACGGGCUUAAGGGCACUACCCCCAGCCCACCCCAGGGCAGCACCCAGG
ensembl:lncRNA